rnacentral:rRNA from 1 species
CAGAGGGUGCGAACGUUGCUCGGAAUUAUUGGGCGUAAAGUGCGUGUAGGCGGCUUGUUAAGUCGGUUGUGAAAACCCAUGGCUCAACCAUGGAAGGGCGUCCGAAACUGGCAAGCUAGAGUCCCGACGAGGAUGGCGGAAUUCCCAGUGUAGAGGUGAAAUUCGUAGAUAUUGGGAGGAACACCGGUGGCGAAGGCGGCCAUCUGGGAGGGCACUGACGCUGAGACGCGAAAGCGUGGGGAGCAAACAGGAUUAGAUACCCUGGUAGUCCACGCUGUAAACGAUGAGCACUAGAUGUUGCGGGUAUUGACCCCUGCAGUGUCGACGCUAACGCAUUAAGUGUUCCGCCUGGGGAGUACGGCCGCAAGGCUA